AGUGAACGCUGGCGGCGUGGAUUAGGCAUGCAAGUCGAACGAUCCCGCAAGGGAUAGUGGCAAAAGGGUGAGUAACACGUGAGCAACUUACCUUCAGAUGGGGAACAACCUUGGGAAACCGAGGCUAAAACCGCAUAUGACCACGGCUCGGCAUCGAGCUGUGAUAAAAGUGGGGACCGCAAGGCCUACUGUCUGAAGAUGGGCUCACGUCCUAUCAGCUUGUUGGUGAGGUAACGGCUCACCAAGGCUUUUGACGGGUAGCUGGUCUGAGAGGAUGGUCAGCCACAUUGGGACUGAGACACUGCCCAGACUCCUACGGGAGGCUG
rnacentral:rRNA from 1 species